rnacentral:rRNA from 1 species
AUUGAACGCUGGCGGCGUGCCUAACACAUGCAAGUCGAGCGGUAACAGGGUGUGGCAAUACAUGCUGACGAGCGGCGACGGGUGAGUAACGCUUGGGAAUCUGCCUAGUUAGUGGGGGACAACCCGGGGAAACUCGGGCUAAUACCGCAUACGCACUACGGUGGAAAGCCGGGGACCGCAAGGCCUGGCGCUAACAGAUGAGCCCAAGUCGGAUUAGCUAGUUGGUAGGGUAACGGCCACCAAGGCGACGAUCCGUAACUGGUCUGAGAGGACGACCAGUCACACCGGAACUGAGACACGGUCCGGACUCCUACGGGAGGCAGCAGUGGGGAAUAUUGGACAAUGGCGAAAGCCUGAAUCCAGCGACGCCGCGUGGGUGAAGAAGGCCUGCGGGUUGUAAAGCCCUUUCAGUGGGAAGAAAAGCCUCGAGCUAACACCUCGGGUCUUGACGUAACCCAUAGAAGAAGCACCGGCUAACUCUGUGCC